UACGUAGGGGGCAAGCGUUAUCCGGAAUUACUGGGUGUAAAGGGAGCGUAGACGGUAAUGUAAGUCUGGAGUGAAAGGCGGGGGCCCAACCCCCGGACUGCUCUGGAAACUAUGUUACUAGAGUGCAGGAGAGGUAAGCGGAAUUCCUAGUGUAGCGGUGAAAUGCGUAGAUAUUAGGAGGAACACCAGUGGCGAAGGCGGCUUACUGGACUGUAACUGACGUUGAGGCUCGAAAGCGUGGGGAGCAAACAGG
rnacentral:rRNA from 1 species